rnacentral:rRNA from 1 species
CGUGGUCUCGCGAUGCAUCUAGAUUAGAGUUUGAUCUUGGCUCAGAUUGAACGCUGGCGGCAGGCCUAACACAUGCAAGUCGAGCGGAUGACGGGAGCUUGCUCCUUGAUUCAGCGGCGGACGGGUGAGUAAUGCCUAGGAAUCUGCCUGGUAGUGGGGGACAACGUUUCGAAAGGAACGCUAAUACCGCAUACGUCCUACGGGAGAAAGCAGGGGACCUUCGGGCCUUGCGCUAUCAGAUGAGCCUAGGUCGGAUUAGCUAGUUGGUGAGGUAAUGGCUCACCAAGGCGACGAUCCGUAACUGGUCUGAGAGGAUGAUCAGUCACACUGGAACUGAGACACGGUCCAGACUCCUACGGGAGGCAGCAGUGGGGAAUAUUGGACAAUGGGCGAAAGCCUGAUCCAGCCAUGCCGCGUGUGUGAAGAAGGUCUUCGGAUUGUAAAGCACUUUAAGUUCGGAGGAAGGGCAGUAAGCUAAUACCUUGCUGAGGUGAACGUUACCGACAGAAUAAGGCACCGGCUAACUCUGUGCCAGCAGCCGCGGUAAUAACAGAGGGUGCAAGCGUUAAUCGGAAUUACUGGGCGCAAAGCGCGCGUAGGUGGUUCGGUAAGUAGGAUGUGAAAGCCCCGGGCUCAACCUGGGAACUGCAUCCCAAAACUGGCGAGCUAGAGUACGGUAGAGGGGUGGUGGAAUUUCCUGUGUAGCGGUGAAAUGCGUAGAUAUAAGGAAAGGAACACCAGUGGCGAAAGGCGACCACCCUGGAACUGAUACUGACACUGAAGGUGCGAAAGCGUGGGGAGCAAACAAGGAUUAGAUACCCUGGUAGUCCACGCCGUAAGGCGAUGUCAACUAGCCGUUUGGAAUCCUUGAAGAAUUUUAGUGGGCGCAGCUAACGCAUUAAGUUGACCGCCUGGGGGGAGUACGGCCGCAAGGUUAAAACUCAAAUGAAUUGAACGGGGGCCCGCAACAAGCGGGUGGAGCCAUGGUGAUUAAAUUCGAAAGCCAACGCGAAGAAAUCUUACCAGGCCUUGGAACAUGCCAGAAGAAACUUUCCAGAGAAUGGAUUGGUGACGUUCGGGAACUCUGGAACACAAGGUGCUGCAUGGCUGUCGUCAGCUCAGUGUUCGUGAGAAUGUCUGGCUUAAGUCCCGUAACGAGCGCAACCCUUGUCCUUAGUUACCAGCACGUUAUGGUGGGCACUCUAAGGAGACUGCCGGUGACAAACCGGAGGAAGGUGGGGAUGACGUCAAGUCAUCAUGGCCCUUACGGCCUGGGCUACACACGUGCUACAAUGGUCGGUACAGAGGGUUGCCAAGCCGCGAGGUGGAGCUAAUCUCACAAAACCGAUCGUAGUCCGGAUCGCAGUCUGCAACUCGACUGCGUGAAGUCGGAAUCGCUAGUAAUCGCGAAUCAGAAUGUCGCGGUGAAUACGUUCCCGGGCCUUGUACACACCGCCCGUCACACCAUGGGAGUGGGUUGCACCAGAAGUAGCUAGUCUAACCUUCGGGAGGACGGUUACCACGGUGUGAUUCAUGACUGGGGUGAAGUCGUAACAAGGUAACCGUAA